AGGACCAUAGCCCAGUGGUAGAGUGUCUGCUUCACAUGCAGAAGGUUCCAGGUUCAAUCCCCAAUGGCAUCUU